rnacentral:tRNA from 1 species
CGUACCUGGUAGGGGAGUGGGGUAGGGCCAGGACCACUUGUGCUGCUCUCCGGCGAUGGGCACUGAUGGAUCGGGUUCGACUACCGCAUGUGCGG